AUUGGGCCGGUGCACAGGCCUUAGAUUAAAUUAGUUUUCUUCAAUAUUUUUGGUUCAUGUUUAGGUUUUUCCUAUCGCUCUCAUAAGUUCCGCCGCGAGAAUUUCAAUGUUACUCCAAGGAGAAAUGAUAGAAUUGCAAACUUGAGGGGAAAAAUUUACCCAAAUCUCCAUUUCUCAUAUGAGUUACUCAUUUGAGUUGAAGAUCGGGCACCUGGUCCACUCGGCUAAUGUGAGAGCUACUAGAUUGGAGGCUUCUCUGCCAUGGAUGAUUGAGGUUGUAAUUCUUACUACACUUACCCCCCUCCGAGCUUCUAUUGAUGAUUUGUUUGCUAGAGUUACAACUUUUGAGAGAAGACAGGGGGAGUCUUCUGAAGUGACGACUUUUGAAGUUGAAGUUAUUCGUAUGAGAGGCUUCUGUGAUUUCUCAGGAUACCACCGGAGACAUACAUAGGGAUGGAACAAUAGAGAUCAAUGAAGAUCAGAUUGAGGUGAGAGAGGAUAGCAUUUACGAAGACCUUCCAGAUCGAGGAGACUAUUGUACAAUCCUUGAUCCACACAUCGCAGACCGAGAUGUCCAUAGAAGCUCCUAGUGGAUCCGGUACUCCUAAUAAUGCACCGGGCACUGAUGCUCAGACAAAUGGAGCGACUGAGUAAAUAAGAUCUAUCUUUAUCUCUCUUUCUGUCUUAUUUUUCUUGACUUCUAGAUAUUAUUUUUGUUUGCAUUUGAGGACAAACUAUUUUUAUGUGUUGUAGGGUGAGGCCCACCUAGUUUGACUAUUCUAAUGUAUAUAUACGGUUUUUGAGAUAUAACUGUGUUGAUGCUA